rnacentral:rRNA from 1 species
GACGAACGCUGGCGGCGUGCCUAAUACAUGCAAGUCGAACGAGAGCGACCGGUGCUUGCACUGGUCAAUCUAGUGGCGAACGGGUGAGUAACACGUGGGUAACCUGCCCAUCAGAGGGGGAUAACAUUCGGAAACGGAUGCUAAAACCGCAUAGGUCCUUUAACCGCAUGGUUGAAGGAGGAAAAGAGGCGCAAGCUUCUGCUGAUGGAUGGACCCGCGGUGCAUUAGCUAGUUGGUGAGGUAACGGCUCACCAAGGCCGUGAUGCAUAGCCGACCUGAGAGGGUGAUCGGCCACAUUGGGACUGAGACACGGCCCAAACUCCUACGGGAGGCAGCAGUAGGGAAUCUUCCGCAAUGGACGCAAGUCUGACGGAGCAACGCCGCGCGAGUGAAGAAGGUUUUCGGAUCGUAAAGCUCUGUUGUAAGUCAAGAACGAGUGUGAGAGUGGAAAGUUCACACUGUGACGGUAGCUUACCAGAAAGGGACGGCUAACUACGUGCCAGCAGCCGCGGUAAUACGUAGGUCCCGAGCGUUGUCCGGAUUUAUUGGGCGUAAAGCGAGCGCAGGCGGUUUGAUAAGUCUGAAGUUAAAGGCUGUGGCUCAACCAUAGUUCGCUUUGGAAACUGUCAAACUUGAGUGCAGAAGGGGAGAGUGGAAUUCCAUGUGUAGCGGUGAAAUGCGUAGAUAUAUGGAGGAACACCGGUGGCGAAAGCGGCUCUCUGGUCUGUAACUGACGCUGAGGCUCGAAAGCGUGGGGAGCGAACAGG